CCUACGGGAGGCAGCAGUGGGGAAUAUUGCACAAUGGGGGAAACCCUGAUGCAGCGACGCCGCGUGAGUGAAGAAGGAUUUCGGUAUGUAAAGCUCUAUCAGCAGGGAAGAAGAAAGACGGUACCUGACUAAGAAGCCCCGGCUAACUACGUGCCAGCAGCCGCGGUAAUACGUAGGGGGCAAGCGUUGUCCGGAUUUACUGGGUGUAAAGGGAGCGUAGACGGUUGCGCAAGUCUGAAGUGAAAGCCCAGGGCUCAACCCUGGGACUGCUUUGGAAACUGGGGAGCUAGAGUGCUGGAGAGGUAAGUGGAAUUCCUAGUGUAGCGGUGAAAUGCGUAGAUAUUAGGAGGAACACCAGUGGCGAAGGCGACUUACUGGACAGUAACUGACGUUGAGGCUCGAAAGCGUGGGGAGCAAACAGGAUUAGAUACCCGUGUAGUC
rnacentral:rRNA from 1 species